rnacentral:snoRNA from 1 species
CAGUAAAAUGAUGGCAACCAUCUUUCAGAGCUGAUCUGAAAUGAAGAGAAUACCCAUUGCUAAUCACUU